rnacentral:rRNA from 1 species
AUCGAUGAAGAACGCAGCGAAAUGCGAUACGUAAUGUGAAUUGCAGAAUUCCGUGAAUCAUCGAAUCUUUGAACGCACCUUGCGCCUCUUGGUAUUCCGAGGGGCAUGCCUGUUUGAGUGUCUUUUGAAUAUCUCAAACUUGACCUUGUGGAACUUUCCUGAGGAUUAAGUUUGGAUUUUGGCGGUUGCCGAUUUUCAUCAUUUGUUUUGAGAAAGUUGGCUCCUCUAAAAAGCAUUAGCGGACAAGGAGAAAUCCAAUUCUUCUUUGGUUGCUGGUAUUGAUAAUCUGUCUAUGCCUGUAAAGACCCUUGAGGAGGAUUGUCUCUAUUUUGUUUGCUCAUAAAAAUAAAGGUCACCUUUUACGUGGUGAUUUUUUCUUGACAAAUUACCUCAAAUCAGGUAGGACUACCCGCUGAACUUAAGCAUAUCAAUAAGCGGAGGAAAAGAAACUAACAAGGAUUCCCCUAGUAACUGCGAGUGAAGCGGGAAAAGCUCAAAUUUAAAAUCUGGCAGUCUUUGUUGCUGCUCGAGUUGUAAUCUAGAGAAGUGCCUUCCGCGCUGGACCGUGUACAAGUCUCUUGGAAUGGAGCGUCGUAGAGGGUGACAAUCCCGUCUUUGACACGGACUACCAGGGCUUAUGUGAUGCGCUCUCGAAGAGUCGAGUUGUUUGGGAAUGCAGCUCAAAAUGGGUGGUAAAUUCCAUCUAAAGCUAAAUAUUGGCGAGAGACCGAUAGCGAACAAGUACCGUGAGGGAAAGAUGAAAAGAACUUUGAAAAGAGAGUUAAACAGUACGUGAAAUUGUUGAAAGGGAAACGAUUCAAGUCAGUCGCGUUGGCCGGUAAUCAACCCUUGCGAUUUAUUGCAAAGGCUUACUUUCUGGUUAACGGGUCAGCAUCAAUUUCGACCGUCAGAGAAAGGCUCGAUGAAUGUGGCAUCUUUGGAUGUGUUAUAGCUUCGAGUCGCAUGUGACGGUCGGGAUUGAGGAACUCGGCACGCCGAAAGGCCUGGGGCAUCCUUGCCCACGUAAACGUGCUUCGGAUGCUGGCGUAAUGGCUUGAACCGACCCGUCUUGAAACACGG